CGUGCAUUCACUAUCUACCUGAGUGAUGGCUGCUGUCUUCUAUGUUGGUUUAUUUUCUGUCUCACCUUUGCUCAUCUGUGAUGAUCUGGGAAGUGGACAGUAGCAUGAGAAAUCACCUAAUCUUAAGAAAGAGGAAAAUGCAACCCAGAAAAUUAUUGCCUAAAGUGAGAUUAGAAUUUCUUGACUUUUAAAAGACUGGGCUGGAGCAAACCUAGAUAUCAAGAAAAAUUCUCUUCAGUAAGAGCCAAUAUGAUAAAACCUGAAAUUAUGUAUCAUGGGGAAUAAGUUGUAGGUAGGUUGGUGGUUGGUAGACAUAAGGUAUACAUUUUAUUCUAGUUUUGGAUCAUAUCAAGAUCAUGAGGCUAUUUUCUCAGGGGGGGGAAACAUGUCCUACCUAACAAGUCUAUUAGAUGGGGAAUGUGAUGGAGUAAGGGGAAUGGCAAAAGAAAGACAUUGAUUUGGAGGGGGAGGGGCACUUGCUUGCUGGGCGCAGAGAGGACUGAGUAGUUAACUGUCAGUGGCAAAAAUAACUGCCAUCCUGGGAGGUGAAAGUGUGGGGAGGGGGACAGAAUGGAGCACACAUCAGAGCUCUGUGGGCAAAAGCUGCUCUCAUGAGGAAGCCACACUGUUUCUGACCCAAUCUAAAGAGUGGCCUGGUGAACAAGGCGCUCUGUGCUUUUGGUCCCUACCAGUGAUGGCUGGGAAUAAAGAAGGUUAGAACAAAAGAAAACAUCUCGCUUCCCUGCCAAUUCCAGGCUUUCACCAAAGCUGAGUUAACCUGGCUAUAAGAUGAUUCCUGUGCUAUAGCUGCUGGAGGUAGCCUGAUCAAAAAACACCGCAAUUGUGGAGAUGAUUGAUUCUUCUUUUUAUCACCUGUAAUACCCCUAUCUUUCCUCCAUGUAACCAUUAAAGGGAGCAGUUGUGUACAAAAUGUAUUAUACACAGGUCCCACGCAGAGGAGUUAGAGGGAGGAUUUAAUACACAAGAAAAGAGGUUCCUGGUGUCCUGAGGGGCAGUUCCCUCCCUGCUGGCUACUUGAGUGGGCUAAUCUUCAGCCCCCAAAUGAGGCCUAUAUGGAAAAGGAUGACAUCGAGCAAAGGGCAUAGGUGGAAACUCCCUCCCUACAACACAUCUGCUACUCUCAGCUCAAAGGUUUAAAGAGAGCAAGAAGAUUUACUUCAGAUGGUCCGUGUCCCUGUCACCAUCCCCAUCUCCAUUUCUGACAGGAGUGUACAGGGAGGUGAAAAGAAGGUGGCUGUCAUUGGGAAACAAGAUAAUACAUACAUAGGAAAUUAAAUGGUAGUGAAUGAAUAAUGCUAAAGGCUAGAAAAAGUUGUAGAGAAGCAAAGAGAGGCCGAGAGCUGAGCCACCGCAGAGGAGAUGCCCAUCAUUGCUGGAUAAUUUAUUUUGGAAACAGGGCCGAGAAUGGGAAUCUGAUUUUCUGGCAAAAAACCCUAAUCUAUAAUAAGAGGCUAUGUUAUCUUAGCCCAACAGAGGUCUAUAUCCUGAAAUCAUAAAGGUUCAGAAGACCAGAAUACAAGCCCAGUGUUCAGGUCAAGAGAACAAGAUCCUUGGAAUCAGACACACUGGAAUAAAAAUUGAAAUUCUUUCACUUAU